AGAUUGGCUUUGGAGGUGGCUGCAAUGAAAUAUACGUUUUGAAGAAGUUCCCUAUGAAAUGUCUUAUAAACUGUUUCUUCUGGCCAGGUGCUCGGGCUCACACCUGUAAUCUCAGCACUUUCAGUGACCAAGGAGAAAGGAUCAGGAUCAUGGCUUCCUUGACAAUGGCACUGAUGUGACUCCAUCCAGCAUCCAUUGUUGUGAGAACUCUAUUUGGCAUAUCAUCAUUGUGGGCAUGAACAUAAUGGAGACUUUCAUAGGAUGCAAUGAUUAAUAUUCAACAUUAGUCAAAAUUUCUUCUAGUCCUACCCUUGGAGCUCUACUGGGUUGGAAAAUAUUUUCGGACAAGGACAAUCAUUUGAUGCUCACGUUCACAGUAAUCUGGCUGAUCAAGGAAGGGUUCAGGUGAGUGGUUUCUCUGCAUGGCACUGAGCUUGUCUUCAGCCUACACAUAUCAACUGUCUGAGGACAAGGCUGAACAGCAGUGACUACCCAUGACUCAAGAUUCUUCUGGCAGGUCACAAGAGUGAACAGCAUCCCAAACCAAACUGCACAAGUUGCCCAAUAAGAAGUCCUCCCAUGAGAUUUGGAAGUCCGAAAAGGAUGACUCAAUAUUCUCCAUUGGUACCUAAGACAGACACAGGGACAGACAUGAGGACUAGAGAAACACCUGAAAAGAUGCUGUAGGAAGCUGAGAGCAUCAGCACCCCCACCCCUAAGCUUCCAGACAGGACUGAGGACCAUAUGGUUAGAAAGCCCAUACUUCAGAGGAAGAUGCAUUCUGUUGCCUGAGGGAGGAUCAGAGAUUCCUGCUUCUAAUAUCAGCUUUCAUGACUACUAUAUCCUUGGCUUUGAAAGUAAACCAAUGAACAGGCCUCCCAGAUACUAUCAAGGAGCUGAAACUUACAUAUCACUGAAUCGGGACAGUGAGACAUCAGAACCUUCACCCAUUAUGAUUGCCUCACUGACCUCCUGCUUCCUGUUGACCAAAUUAUCUUCCUUACCCCUCCCUAAUUCCUGUUUUCCCACAUUUCUUCCCUGCUAUAUAAACUCCUAAUUUCAGUUGGUCAGGGAGAUACAUUUGAGAAUGGUAUCACAUCUCCUAGGCUGCAGCACCUGAUUAAAGCCUGUUCCUUGGCAAUGCUUGUUGUCUUAGUGAUUGGCUUUCUGUGGGGUAAGCUGCAGAGUCUUCACUGAAUCCCUGGCAUUUCAGUAACAAAAUUCUCUGCAACCUUCACUGCUUUGGCUUAUUGUAACCUGAAAUCAAAUUUGUCCACAACUUCUGAGAUAACUUGAUAUAAUUCUAGGAUUCAUUUUGUCCACCACUGCUUACCAGUCUGAGCUUGCCAGCUCCCAACCCUUCCUAGUGCCAAUGAACUUUCUCAAAGAGCCACAGGUAACAUUUUCCCUUUUUCAUAAAAUGCUAAUUUUCUCUUCGUUCUUCCAAUAUCUUGAAGACCACUGAGUUUUCCUGUAUGCCCCACCUGGCAAAUAUUUCUUUGCAAAUAAAACUUAAAUUUAGAGAUUCAUCUCUACAUUUUAUUUUGA